AGUGUGUAACAUUGUAACAUUGAAGAGUAGUUUCUUGUCCCGGGAGGUCCUGCUGGGCAGUGCUGGGGCCAGGCCUGGGUUUCACUCUCCCUUGAAGGUUGUGAUGAUCCAGUCUGCUGGCAGAAAAGCUCCAACAUGCUGGGCAGGCAGGGCUUCCAGAAGCUGCGUGCUGGCUACACUCUAGGCUGCGACACUCCUGAUAAUCCCAAAGCUACUGGAUGAGAGGGAGUUUCACACGGCCUGUCAAAUCCACGGGAGAUUGGAUUGCCACCUGAUUGGGAUUCCGCUGUGUGGACAGAUCGCUGUGGAAGACUGUGGUGGUUCACAGCCUUUCCUCACAGAAGAACCGGGCAUCUCUGUCUCCACUUGCUCAGAUCUUCUUUUAUGCCGCAGUAGAGUUUACAGCCAUCCACAGCAUGGGUUCUGUCUGCGUGUCUGUUGGAUUUAUUUUCCUUAGGGGGCUUCAGCUUCUCUGGCCACUGUCAACAGGCAGCUGCUUUUACAUGGUAGAUUUGUAGGCCUGCCCUGCCCUGACUGCAUCAGUAAGCUCUCUUGAGUUUUCCUUGCUCCCCACACCCUCUGGUUCUCUAGACCUCAUUGUAUUCUCAGUGAGCCACAAUAUCAUUUGACCCGGUACCUGCAGUUUUUUUUUUUUAAUACUGUACUGACCUAGCUCCUUGUGAGGAUUAGAAGUGGGGUGUGGGUAUCCUCAUGUUGCUCCAACUUUAACGAGGUCCUCAGAUGCCGCUCAGAGCACAGCUUUCUCUGUUCCUACUUCCUAAGGAAUCCCCAGGCCGGCUGGGGUGAGUUAUCAAAUGCUACUUGGGUGUGUCCUAAACCUCUGCCUUUUCUACCUGAGUGAAUUAUAGCAACGACCUCAGUGGAUUCCGAACAUCAGGUGCCCAUGUAGUAAUUUCUGUCGUCAUCCUCCUCCCUCAGGGUCCUGGCUUCUCCAGGCUGACCCUACUUUCCCAAGCUCGUAUCUCCUUCUUACAAAUGUCUCAGCUUCGGCAGGUAGAGGGUGGUCCCUGCUCUGCCCGUGGUGCCUGGUUGCCUUUCUGGUGUCUAGAUGUAUACUUUCUACGAUGUGCACAUAUCCACUCACACGAGUUCAUGGGUUUGAAAGUUUACCCACGUGGCAAAGUGGCAGCGAUAGUGGCAGCUUCCUUUUUUUUUUUUUUUUCAAGCAACAUCCAACUUUCUUAGUGUGGUGGUUGAUGGCAAUCCAGCUAGCUUUAGCUGACUGGGUCAAGAAGGCAUGGCGUCUCAUCUCUUCCCAGGGAUGGGACUCUCAGCCUGUCUCUUCUGCCUGACGGGCAGCAAUGUCUGAUGCCCCGCUGCGUGUUUGCCACCUGGAGUCUGCGAAUGCAGGCCCUCAGGACAACACCCUCUGGCUGGGAGGGCAACCUUGGACCCUUGGGGUUCGUAUGGACAGAGCUCCGAACAGUUCUUGGUAGGUGACAGGUGUUUGGUGAACCCAACCCGCGAGCGUGCUGAACGAUCAUGAUUAAGAAGCGAGCGGGCUGUCUCGAUGGUAAUGUCAAUUUACCCUCCAGCCAGAACUUCUCAGAGCUUCCGGUUCCACGGAUUCACAGCAGCACUUGGGAACCCACGUAUCUCACGCCACCGCCAUGUGUGCUGACAGCCUUGUUCUGGCUCUCCCUCCUGCUGCAUGUCUCCAUCCCUGAACCGUAACUUGUUCCCUUUAGAGACCUGAGCUUUACAACUGUGCCGUGCCAAGUGCUGCUCAGAGCUCUGUUGACAUGGACCUCAAGAGACCACAACACCUCCUUCCAAGCUUCUGUCCCACCUACAGGGUCUUGACAUCCAGAAGGGAAGAUCUCAUUUGUCUUCAGGCAUAUCUUGACUAUUUUCGGACCACGGCUAUUCAAUAAUCUAAGAGAGAAAGAGAGAGUCAACUACACUGACUAAGCCAGUUAAGUGUAUAUAUGAGCCCUUUAAUUUUGACUGGCAACCAAGAGUGGGCUAAUGUCUCAGAGUCUUUUCAUGCUGAAUAUCAGGGGCACAGAAUUUUUAAAAGACAAAACCCAUGAGGAUCAGGGUGACUUUAAAGCAUUCAUUCUUGACAGAGCAUAAGCGAUUGUUUCAGACAAAAAUAAUGGCAACUAUUUUUGAUGUAUACCUUCUUCAUUUAUCCUAGUUGAUAUUGUUUGUAUAAAUGUUAUUUUAGUUACUAUAUCUGACCACGGUCAAGGUCAUGGAAAUCUCAAGUGUUGCCAAGGCAGAGGGGAGAAGAGGGCUGAGAACUAAGCAAACACAAAUGGAGUCAGAACAAGAUGGCCUUACCUUGGUCACUUCACUAUGAUCUAUUAAUUUUAUGAACUAGCUUGGACUAGAUUGAAAACUCAUUUAAUCUUUGUAUUAACUUAAAGAGAAUUUUCAUUAGCAGUGACUCUUUCCAUCCGUGGAGAUGGUUUAUCUGUUCCUAUAUUAAAGUCUUCCUUCAAGCCUUCCACCACAGUCUAGCUGUUCCCUUCCAAGCCAACAUUGCUACUGUAACCUUGGGAACGGUGAUUUGUUCUCACAUCUGGCUUCUUAUUACAUCACCUUUACUAUCUAUCUCUCAUUUUUGCUAUUUCUUAUGCUGAAUUUAUUUUCUUCAACUCACUGGACUCCGGUGGAUUCUAAUUGUUUUCAGUAGAUUACAUUGAAAAUUGCACAGCUUGGGAUAAGGCAGGAGAGAUGUCUCAGUGACUAAGAAUGCUGACUGCUCUUGUAGAAGAUCUGGGUUCAGUUCCCAGCAUCUGCAUGGUGGCUCACAACCCUCUGUAACUCCAGUACCAAGGGAUCCAAUACUCUCUUUGGCCUCUGCAUGCACCAAACAUGCGCAUGGUACACAAACGUACACGCAGGCAGAACAUUUGUACACAUAAGACAAAAAUAAAUGUUUUUAAAAUGCCCUUUCUUUUCGUUGCCACCCUUUGCUGCUGGGCUCUCCAGCACACCGAAGGCAGAGGGCAGAGUCAAUGUGAAAGGGCAGUGCUGGAUUGUAUCAUGAUAGAUACUGUUCUCAUGUCCAUCUAAGGAAAUGCUCUGUGUUCUUUGGUUGCUCCCCUCAGACCCUGGGUUAGCAUCCGUGGGCCCUCGUGCUUGCGUGCACCAUCUUAUGCUGCUAUUAUCAGCGCUCAGCACUGCGGUCCACAGUCUCCCUUUGCUGUUAUUCGGUCCUCAGUCUCUCUCUGAGGUCAACCAGAGCGCUCAGCACUGCGGUCCACAGUCUCCCUCCGAGGUCACUCAGAACAACUUGCAUUGUCUCAUGCACACAGCCUGGCCCUGCAUUCUUCAUGUGUUCAGUUUUGUUUCCUUCUGGUCCACGCAUACCUCUCACCAGUGCAUUGUGGGAAAGCUCCCAGGAUGCUCAGGAUCUGACUAUUGUUUUCCUCUUCUCACUUGAGAUGUUGUGUUGCACUGUGUGUUGUCUGGACUGUGUAUUUGUGAGCACACUGGCACCUGCCUCACCACAGUGCCUUUAUAGUCUUUCUCUUCCAGACUGCUUUUACAAUGUGUACUUUAAUGAUAGUAUUGUUAAAAGGCAGUGUUGGAUGAUUGACACAAAAUAAACUGCACAGGGCGGC
rnacentral:lncRNA from 1 species